rnacentral:sRNA from 1 species
GAAAGAUGACAAAGACUCGCCCAAGAAGAACAAGGGCAAGGAGCGCCGGGACCUGGAUGACCUCAAGAAGGAGGUGGCUAUGACAGAGCACAAGAUGUCAGUGGAAGAGGUCUGCCGGAAAUACAACACAGACUGUGUGCAGGUGUGGCCGGGCUGCGGGCUGGGACCCUGGGAACUAGGGAGGAGGAGCUGGGGGCUAGGACCCCUGGGUCUGAGGGAGGAGGGGCUGGGGACCUGGACUCCUGGGCCUGAGGGAGGAGGGGCUGUGGCUGGUGUCUUAAGUUCUGGGGGU